rnacentral:rRNA from 1 species
GACGAACGCUGGCGGCGUGCCUAAUACAUGCAAGUAGAACGCUGAAGGAGGAGCUUGCUUCUCUGGAUGAGUUGCGAACGGGUGAGUAACGCGUAGGUAACCUGCCUGGUAGCGGGGGAUAACUAUUGGAAACGAUAGCUAAUACCGCAUAAUAGUAGAUGUUGCAUGACAUUUGCUUAAAAGGUGCAAUUGCAUCACUACCAGAUGGACCUGCGUUGUAUUAGCUAGUUGGUGAGGUAACGGCUCACCAAGGCAACGAUACAUAGCCGACCUGAGAGGGGGAUCGGCCACACUGGGACUGAGACACGGCCCAGACUCCUACGGGAGGCAGCAGUAGGGCAUCUUCGGCAAUGGACGGAAGUCUGACCGAGCAACGCCGCGUGAGUGAAGAAGGUUUUCGGAUCGUAAAGCUCUGUUGUAAGAGAAGAACGAGUGUGAGAGUGGAAAGUUCACACUGUGACGGUAUCUUACCAGAAAGGGACGGCUAACUACGUG